UUGUAGAUUUUGUUAUUAAUCUCCUGUUGUAGUUGCUUUAUUGAAGCCUAAUGUUCCAACUUACAUACUAUGUUUCAGUUACAUAUAUUUUCAUUCAAUUGUUUUACUGAUUCAAAGUAUGUGUUUUUAUAGAGACAAAUGGGAAAUCAUCUAUCCAAAUCAUUUUUAAUGAGGGAAAAAGAUAAGAACUAAAAACAUGUAAAAAUCUGAAAACAUUUGAAAUUAACUUUCGUCAAAUAUUAUUAUUUUAGGAAGGUUUUCUUCUAGGAGAAGUAAUAAGUCAUAUUACUGAUACAAUCAGCGACUCGCAAAUAUGUAGCGAAAAAGAAGAAACCAGUUUAAAUAUUUACACAAUUGUGCCUUGUGAAAAACCAUUUUCUUUUUAUGACAGCAGUGGAGCAAUUAAGCAACAAGCACUUGAUUAUAUUUUACAAGGAAGGCAUAAGGAGGUGCUGGGAUGGUAUAAAUUCAGAANAGAU